rnacentral:rRNA from 1 species
AGCGAACGUUUGCGGCGGGCCUAACACAUGCAAGCCGAACGCACUAGCAAUAGUGAGUGGCGCACGGGUGCGUAACACGUGGGUAAUCAACCCUUCAGCUUGGGAUAACGACUUGAAAGGGUCGCUAAUACCGGAUACGGCGAGAGAGGCUUCGGCAUUUCUCGAGAAAGCCUCGCAAGGGGCACUGAAGGACGAGCCUGCGGCCCAUCAGCUAGUUGGUGAGGUAAGAGCUCACCAAGGCGAAGACGGGUAGCUGGUCUGAGAGGAUGAUCAGCCACACUGGAACUGAGACACGGUCCAGACUCCUACGGGAGGCAGCAGUGGGGAAUAUUGCGCAAUGGGCGAAAGCCUGACGCAGCCACGCCGCGUGAGCGAUGAAGGCCUUCGGGUCGUAAAGCUCUGUGGGGAGAGGACGAAGAAAG